rnacentral:rRNA from 1 species
GAUGAACGCUGGCGGCGUGCCUAAUACAUGCAAGUAGAACGCUGAAGGAAGGAGCUUGCUCUUUCCGGAUGAGUUGCGAACGGGUGAGUAACGCGUAGGUAACCUGCCUGGUAGCGGGGGAUAACUAUUGGAAACGAUAGCUAAUACCGCAUAACAGUAGAUGUUGCAUGAUAUCUACUUAAAAGGUGCAAUUGCACCACUACCAGAUGGACCUGCGCUGUAUUAGCUAGUUGGUGAGGUAACGGCUCACCAAGGCGACGAUACAUAGCCGACCUGAGAGGGUGAUCGGCCAAACUGGGACUGAGACACGGCCCAGACUCCUACGGGAGGCAGCAGUAGGGAAUCUUCGGCAAUGGACGGAAGUCUGACCGAGCAACGCCGCGUGAGUGAAGAAGGUUUUCGGAUCGUAAAGCUCUGUUGUAAGAGAAGAACGAGUGUGAGAGUGGAAAGUUCACACUGUGACGGUAUCUGACCAGAAAGGGACGGCUAACUACGUG